AGUAGUUUGCUCUCCCAACAGCUGCUUGAGCCAUGGAUCUUCUCCAACAAGGAGUGGGAGAAAUAUAGGGCCUUGCAAGCCAGCUCCCAGCUGCUUGUUGCCUAUCGGGACACAGUCUAUUGCAGACUACAAGAGCCUUUGGAGCAGUUUGGGUUCCUGCUGGGGCUGCUGGCGCCGUAUACCUGUGCCUCUCUGUCCACAUCCCGCCUGUGGGCCGCCGAAUGCAUUGUCUGCCUUCUGCAGCUACAAGACCAGUCCAGGACAAUGGAGGCAGCAGAGGAGGAGCUGAGAGGUCUCCGGGAGGAGCUCAAAGCUGCCAGCCCUGAGGCUGUGCUGACAUCAUCCUGCCAAAUGGCGAAGGUCAUUGGCAAAUUCUUGCCCUCCAACCAGGCCCUUGAUUGGGUGGGGACAAUAAUGGAUGGCAUGCUUUCUGCCAGCCCCAUGUGUGCCACAGCAGCAGCCCACUGGUUCUGUGCAAUCCUGAGGGAGAAUGGAGAUGCCCUUCUGAAUGAAGUAAAAUUGAAGCUGAGGAGGCUUUCUGCAUUUGCCUUAUGCUUUUCAAACACUGCUAACAUGUGGAGUGUACAGCAAUCUUAGUGCUGAACCCUGGACAUGAAGCAAGUUCCAUUUCCCUUACUAGCCAGAGAUGGAGAAGAGCAGAUCAGCUGCAUCCAAGAGAGAGAGCACAGGAAGGCAAGGUGCCGGACACCCUGGGCACCAUCUUUAUUCGGAUGCCAACAAUGCAGGAGAGGUCCAUGCGAGGCUUCCUGUUGGAAGGCGUUGGCAUUCUUGCCGUGUUAUACCUAGAGGCAGUGAUCACCAGCCUCCUUGCCAAGCCUCUGCCAAUGGACAGUGACACCUCUGAGCUCUGGAGGGCCUUGGGGAGGGAUGAUUUCUCCACCCUCCAUAUACUCCAUUUGCUUCUGAAGAAGAUCCAAUAUCCAGCUGGCUCAGAGGGUAGCUCAUCUGAGGGCACUGCACCCCUGGGACCUCACGCAGUAAGUGACAGCCCAAGCCCAGCUCUGUCUGUUUCCCCUUGAGGGCUAGAGUCCUGGUUCUCAAGAGCUUGAGGUAGAAUGCCAGGUCAUGGGACAAGCUUUUCUCCCUUGCUGUCCUGUCCCCCGGGUCACCCCAACUCUUCCGUCAGCAGCAGAAACACAGCAGCUUCAUGCUGCGUGGCUGACUGACUCCAUGAGACUUUGGAACUGGGAACUAGUACA